CUGGACAUGUUCAUGACUGAAGAUAAUCCUGUCCGUCGACAGUCAGAAAGUGUUACAGAGGAAAGCAUAUCUUCUCGAAAGAAUUACUUGGAUCAUGGAGGAAUGUACAGUGUAUCAGGCAUGAUGGAUAGUGGUCCUUUAAAAUACAGCAUGAGUGUAAGCAUGUACCGUGGAGGAAGCAGAGGAUAUGGGAGGCCUAGGAGUGCUCCUCCUGAUUUGCCUUCUUUGCUCUUAGAUGCUCGGAUAUGCUAUCUGGGAAUGCCAAUUGUACCAGCAGUCACUGAGCUUCUUGUUGCUCAGUU
rnacentral:misc_RNA from 1 species